GGGGGGGGGGGGGGGGGGGGGGGGGGGGGGGGGGGGGGGGGGGGGGGGGGGGGGGGGGGGGGGGGGGGGGGGGGGCGGGCGGCUGCGGAGCGGAGCGGCGGGGCGGUGUCGCGGUGCCGGGGAGCGGAGGCGCGCUGUCCCUGCUCGCUCCGCUGUCGGCUCCUGCCGCCCUCCCCGCCUCCCCCCACGCACAGCGCGGUUCCCCGAGCUCCAGCUGCUGGGAUCCGAGACAGGUGGCCAGCAGCCCGAGAGCGAGCCAGGAAACAAGCUGCAUUGAAGUAUCACUAUGCUUUUCACCUACAAGAGAUGACGGAGACAACCUGGCCAUAUCCCAGCCGUAUGCAGGGAUGGGAGCCUGACUCUUCUUUCCCAUCCCUCUCCAGCCCUUCUGCCCUUAAACAGCUGAACCGAAAGUUAUUUCUCACCAGAUACGGAAGAAUAAUGAGAGUAGGGAGUUAUUCAUGGAUUAUUUAUUCUACAAUCAAUGAGGCAAAGAAAAAUGAAAACAAUUAUUUCUCAGGUGUUAUAUAGAGAAAGCUGAGAAAUGGAGAGGUAUAAUUUCUUUAGAGGAGCCCCAAAGCAGGGAUAAAUUAUUUUCAGUGACUAAUACACAUGCUGUUAACAAGUACCUGCUGUUAUUUAGUGACUGUGAUGAAGUGGUUAAGACCGUAGGAUGAGAUUUUCAGAAAGGCCUUGGGAUAUUAGGAUCCUCAAUCCUAUUGCCUUUCAGAGGGAGUACAGUGCCUAUGUUUUAGGUCACUUUGAAAGCUCAUCCAUACGUAAUAUGUGAUAUCCCAGGAGAGCUGUGGCCUAGAGGUCUGGGCACAGCUCAGGACAAAGCUUAAAUGCCAGUCCUGGGGAAAGUGUUUCUGUAAUAUUGUCCAACAGCCAUAAUUUUUCCUCCUUGAGGUUUUCCCUCCCUUGGCUUAUCCAAAAUGAGUAUUAAUAUAUUAAUAUUUAAAAUGCUUUCAUAGAAGUAAUGCCAAUAUGUCUACAGCAAGUAUGAAAUCAGAAAGUACACUAUGAAUGAUGUUUCAUACUUAUUUCUGGUUUUGAAAGAAUAAAUAUUUCCAUAGAGGCUCUGUUACCUCUUACCUGCAUCAUCCUGAGCUCUUUGCAACACCCUCCCCUUUCCUUAUAACCCACAGAUACAUUUUGAUAUCCUGUAAUCAUUAAGAUAAGUGAGGUUUUUGGGAAUUAACUAAGAACCAAAUAUUAAUUAGUGACAUUUAAUUAGUUCAAAAUUGCCUCUUUCCAUAACUUCUUUCAUGUUUACAUCUUCUAUUCCCCUCCUGCUGUUUAUCCCACAAUUUUUCAAGUUCUUAAACCUACAUUUUCUUUUCUUUAGCUACCACUGAUAGAGCUGAUAUAACAUCACAAAGUGACUGCAGAUAUUCAUGGAAAAAACUCUGACUGUGACAUGCAAAAAUUUUUACCACUUUCAUUCUGAAUUCUUGAAAUCCUUUCAUUGGUCUUUAUAAUUCACUUGAAUUAGUAAUAAACAGUUUCUCU
rnacentral:lncRNA from 12 species